rnacentral:rRNA from 1 species
GACGAACGCUGGCGGCGUGCUUAACACAUGCAAGUCGAACGGUGAUGCUCCAGCUUGCUGGAGUGGAUCAGUGGCGAACGGGUGAGUAACACGUGAGCAACCUGCCCCAGAAUCUGGAAUAAGCGCUGGAAACGGCGUCUAAUACUGGAUACGAAACUGGCCCGCAUGGGCAUGGUUUGGAAAGUUUUUCGGUUUGGGAUGGGCUCGCGGCCUAUCAGCUUGUUGGUGAGGUAAUGGCUCACCAAGGCGACGACGGGUAGCCGGCCUGAGAGGGCGACCGGCCCCACUGGGACUGAGACACGGCCCAGACGCCUACGGGAGGCAGCAGUGGGGAAUAUUACACAAUGGGCGAGAGCCUGAUGCAGCGACGCCGCGUGAGGGAUGACGGCCUUCGGGUUGUAAACCUCUUUCAGCAAGGAAGAAGCGAAAGUGACGGUACCUGCAGAAGAAGCACCGGCUAACUACGUG